CAGCUGAAAGAAGAAAGCAGCUGAUGUCCUUGCUGACAUCUCUUUUAGUCGAGAAAUGGAGAAUCGUCUGAGAAAUGGCUUUGAAGAAGCUGUUCAAACCAGCAACAAGUGUCCUCAACUGGCCUAUUAGGCAAUGACCUCAUUGAUGGGAGUGUGAAGAUACCCUAUGGUAUGUCCAGCCUCUCUGGGACAUGAGGUGGAGGAGCAGAGCAAAGCAGCAGCAGCCGCCUGCAUGGUUCCUUCUACAACCUUGUCCCCUCAGCUCUCUGCACUGAAGCAAGUUUCUAAUGCAGUGUGAGCCUGUGUCCCAGACUUGAGCAGAGAUUCAAUAACAAAGGUCCUGCUUCUGAUCGAACAGAAACAUGAGACUGAACUUGUGACAGUGAUUGCUGAAUCAUGCUGGAGACAUCAUCCCAGGAGAACUAGGCAGCAGACUGAUGCAGAUCUGACACCAGCUGUCAACACUGAUUGUCACUUCCUCUGUAAUACAUCACAUCUACAAAAACAGAUGUGUUCACUGCUUCACAUUUUGUAUUGUUUUUCUACUGUGCACAAUAAAUAAAAUCUAUUUCCAU